CCUACGGUGGGCAGCAGUGAGGAAUAUUGGUCAAUGGCCGGAAGGCUGAACCAGCCAUGCCGCGUGAAGGGCAGGGCCCUAUGGGCGUUAAACUUCUUUUGUGCGGGAGCAAAAAUGGUCACGUGUGGCCAGACGAGAGUACCGUACGAAUAAGCAUCGGCUAACUCCGGGCCAGCAGCCGCGGUAAUACGGGGGAUGCAAGCGUUAGCCGGAUUUAGUGGGUUUCAAGGGUGCGUAGGCUGUGAGGUAAGUCAGCGGUGAAAUGCCCCCGCUCAACGGGGGGAAGUGCCAUUGUUACUGCCUUGCUGGCUUGCGGAUGCCGUGGGAGGAAUGUGUGGUGUAGCGGUGA
rnacentral:rRNA from 1 species